rnacentral:rRNA from 1 species
GACGUAGGGCGCGAGCGUUGUCCGGAUUUAUUGGGCGUAAAGAGCUCGUAGGCGGCUUGUCGCGUCGAAUGUGAAAACUUGGGGCUCAACUCCAAGCUUGCAUUCGAUACGGGCAUCACUGGAGUUCGGCAGGGGAGACUGGAAUUCCUGGUGUAGCGGUGAAAUGCGCAGAUAUCAGGAGGAACACCGGUGGCGAAGGCGGGUCUCUGGGCCGAUACUGACGCUGAGGAGCGAAAGCGUGGGGAGCGAACAGG